rnacentral:rRNA from 1 species
AUUGAACGCUAGCGGGAUGCCUUACACAUGCAAGUCGAACGGAGUGGCGAACGGGUGAGUAAUGUAUCGGAACGUGCACAGUAGCGGGGGAUAACUACGCGAAAGCGUAGCUAAUACCGCAUACUAUUGGAGCGGCCGAUAUCGGAGUAGCUGGUUGGUGGGGUAACGGCUAACAAAGGCGACGGGCCGUAGCUGGUUUGAGAGGACGACCAGCCACACUGGGACUGAGACAAGGCCCAGACUCCGACGGGAGUCAGCAGUGGGGAAUUUUGGACAAUGGGGGAAACCCUGCUCCAGCCAUCCCGCGUGUGCGAUGAAGGCCUGCGGGUUGUAAAGCACUUUUAGCAGGGAGGCGGUACCUGCAGAAGAAGCACCGGCUAACUCCGUGCCAGCAGCCGCGGUAAUAC